rnacentral:rRNA from 1 species
GACGAACGCUGGCGGCGUGCUUACCACAUGCAAGUCGAACGAAGUGGCGAACGGGUGAGUAACGCGUAAUCAACCUGCCCUUCAGAGGGGGACAACAGUUGGAAACGACUGCUAAUACCGCAUACUGAGGGGGGGGAAUGCGUCUGAUUAGCUAGUUGGAGGGGGAACGGCCCACCCAGGGGAAGCUCAGUAGCCUGUCUGAGAGGAUGAACGGCAAAACUGGGACUGAGACACGGGCCAGACUCCUACGGGAGGCAGCAGUGGGGAAUCGUCCGCAAUGGACGAAAGUCUGACGCAGCAACGCCGCGUGAGUGAUGACGGCCUUCGGGUUGUAAAGCUCUGUUAAGCGGGACGCGGUACCGGAAUAGAAAGCCACGGCUAACUACGUGCCAGCCGCCGCGGUAAUUC